UGGGGAAUAUUGGACAAUGGGGGCAACCCUGAUCCAGCCAUGCCGCGUGUGUGAAGAAGGCCUUCGGGUUGUAAAGCACUUUCAGUAGGGAGGAAAGGGUGAUGGCUAACAUCCAUCAUCAUUGACGUUACCUACAGAAGCAGCACCGGCUAACUUCGUGCCAGCAGCCGCGGUAAUACGAAGGGUGCAAGCGUUAAUCGGAAUUACUGGGCGUAAAGCGCGCGUAGGCGGUUUGAUAAGUGAGAUGUGAAAUCCCCGGGCUCAACCUGGGAACUGCAUCUCAUACUGUCAGGCUAGAGUACGGUAGAGGGGGGUAGAAUUCCACGUGUAGCGGUGAAAUGCGUAGAGAUGUGGAGGAAUACCAGUGGCGAAGGCGGCCCCCUGGAUCGAUACUGACGCUGAGGUGCGAAAGCGUGGGGAGCAAACAGG
rnacentral:rRNA from 1 species